rnacentral:lncRNA from 1 species
CACGCCUCUCACCCCGCGCACCCCUGCCUCACGGUCGCUCACCUCCCGCCAAACGCCGCGGCUCGUUCCUACCUCGGAGCCACUGCCAAGCUGGUGUCCCUCCCCGAGACCCCUGCAAAGCCACGGCUUCCUUGCAGGCCGUGUACCAGCGUCCCCUCGGCCUCUCAGCCCUCCCUGCAGGGUCUUGGCCGGCCCUGAGGACACCAACCCUCACCCCCCUGGCAAUUAGAGGAAGUAAAUGUGCAGUCUGAGCGCUAAUUCCUUUGCUCUUGCUGAAAUGGUAGUUUCUAACGGUCUCCAAGUCCGCUCUCAUUUAUUCAGUUGUUUGUUCAACUUUGAUUUGAUCGCCAACCAGGAGCCAGGCGCUCCCACAUCCAGCCUGCCCUCAGACAGCGGCGGAAACCGAAACCCACCCCCAAAGAUGGAGGAGAAAAUAAGCAGCAUCCACCAUCGCCAGCUAAAUGGGUCCGGAAUAAACCCACUGGACAAACAGCCCCACCGGACAAACAGCCCCACCGCCCUCCAGUGUGGAACAUGCGCUUUAGGUUAUGGGACGUGGGAAGUUUGAACUCAGAACACAGAAAUAGGGAAACGGACUUGGUCCAGUGGUUAGGGUGUCCGUCUACCACAUGGGAGGUCCACAGUUCAAACCCCGGGCCUCCUUGACCCGUGUGGAGCUGGCCUAUGCGCAGUGCUGAUGCGCGCAAGGAGUGCUGUGCCACGCAUGGGUGUCCCCCACGUAGGGGAGCCCCACGCGCAAGGAGUGCGCCCCGUAAGGAGAGCCACCCAGCGCAAAAGAAAGUGCAGCCUGCCCAGGAAUGGUGCCGCCCACACUUCCCGUGCGGCUGACGACAACAGAAGUGGACAAAGAAACAAGACGCAGCAAAUAGACACAGAGAAGAGACAACCAGGGGAGGGGGGGAAUUAAAUAAAUAAAUAAAUCUUAAAAAAAAAAAAACUGCAAAAAAAAAAAAGAACACAGAAAUACUCCUGGGAGCCGUGGACUAGGAAACUCACAGUUUAAGCCCCACCUCCAAAUGGAAACAGGCACCUCCCACUUCCUCCCCACUCUUGGUGACUGCUGAUAAGGGGAA